GAUGAACGCUGGCGGCGUGCCUAAUACAUGCGAGUCGAGCGAACAGAUGAGGAGCUUGCUCCUCUGACGUUAGCGGCGGACGGGUGAGUAACACGUGGAUAACCUACCUAUAAGACUGGGAUAACUUCGGGAAACCGGAGCUAAUACCGGAUAAUAUAUUGAACCGCAUGGUUCAAUAGUGAAAGACGGUUUUGCUGUCACCUAUAGAUGGAUCCGCGCCGCAUUAGCUAGUUGGUAAGGUAACGGCUUACCAAGGCAACGAUGCGUAGCCGACCUGAGAGGGUGAUCGGCCACACUGGAACUGAGACACGGUCCAGACUCCUACGGGAGGCAGCAGUAGGGAAUCUUCCGCAAUGGGCGAAAGCCUGACGGAGCAACGCCGCGUGAGUGAUGAAGGUCUUCGGAUCGUAAAACUCUGUUAUUAGGGAAGAACAAAUGUGUAAGUAACUAUGCACGUCUUGACGGUACCUAAUCAGAAAGCCACGGCUAACUACGUG
rnacentral:rRNA from 1 species